rnacentral:pre_miRNA from 1 species
CAGGGGGUCCUCCCGGCUCUGAGGGGUGGGGGAUGGUUCAUGCUGCCUUUCUGGAAGUCGGUCUGUAACGUGCUUCCAGAGCCUUAGUCAGGCACAACCUUUGAUCCCUUCCAAACGUCAGCGGUGGGACC